GCAGCAGCCGCGGUAAUACGUAGGUGGCAAGCGUUGUCCGGAAUUAUUGGGCGUAAAGGGCUCGCAGGCGGUUUCUUAAGUCUGAUGUGAAAGCCCCCGGCUCAACCGGGGAGGGUCAUUGGAAACUGGGAAACUUGAGUGCAGAAGAGGAGAGUGGAAUUCCACGUGUAGCGGUGAAAUGCGUAGAGAUGUGGAGGAACAUCAGUGGCGAAGGCGACUCUCUGGUCUGUAACUGACGCUGAGGAGCGAAAGCGUGGGGAGCGAACAGGAUUAGAUACCCCCGUAGUCCCUGUCUCUUAUAC
rnacentral:rRNA from 1 species